UGAAUAUGGGGGGACCAUCCUCCAAGGCUAAAUACUCCUGACUGACCGAUAGUGAACCAGUACCGUGAGGGAAAGGCGAAAAGAACCCCUGUGAGGGGAGUGAAAUAGAACCUGAAACCGUGUACGUACAAGCAGUAGGAGCACCUUCGUGGUGUGACUGCGUACCUUUUGUAUAAUGGGUCAGCGACUUAUAUUCAGUGGCAAGGUUAACCGUAUAGGGGAGCCGUAGCGAAAGCGAGUCUUAACUGGGCGCUCAGUCUCUGGAUAUAGACCCGAAACCGGGUGAUCUAGCCAUGGGCAGGUUGAAGGUUGAGUAACAUCAACUGGAGGACCGAACCGACUAAUGUUGAAAAAUUAGCGGAUGACUUGUGGCUAGGGGUGAAAGGCCAAUCAAACUCGGAGAUAGCUGGUUCUCCCCGAAAGCUAUUUAGGUAGCGCCUCGGACGAAUACUACUGGGGGUAGAGCACUGUUAAGGCUAGGGGGUCAUCCCGACUUACCAACCCUUUGCAAACUCCGAAUACCAGUAAGUACUAUCCGGGAGACACACGGCGGGUGCUAACGUCCGUCGUGGAGAGGGAAACAACCCAGACCGCCAGCUAAGGUCCCAAAGUAUUGCUAAGUGGGAAACGAUGUGGGAAGGCUCAGACAGCUAGGAUGUUGGCUUAGAAGCAGCCAUCAUUUAAAGAAAGCGUAAUAGCUCACUAGUCGAGUCGGCCUGCGCGGAAGAUGUAACGGGGCUAAGCAAUACACCGAAGCUGCGGCAAUGUCUUUUAGACAUUGGGUAGGGGAGCGUUCUGUAAGCCGUUGAAGGUGAAUCGUAAGGUUUGCUGGAGGUAUCAGAAGUGCGAAUGCUGACAUGAGUAACGACAAAGGGGGUGAAAA
rnacentral:rRNA from 1 species